UGCCGSSKSGSUKCUUAMMAUGCAGUCGAGCGAUGAAGCUCCUUCGGGAGUGGAUUAGCGGCGGACGGGUGAGUAACACGUGGGUAACCUGCCUCAUAGAGGGGAAUAGCCUUUCGAAAGGAAGAUUAAUACCGCAUAAGAUUGUAGUACCGCAUGGUACAGCAAUUAAAGGAGUAAUCCGCUAUGAGAUGGACCCGCGUCGCAUUAGCUAGUUGGUGAGGUAACGGCUCACCAAGGCGACGAUGCGUAGCCGACCUGAGAGGGUGAUCGGCCACAUUGGGACUGAGACACGGCCCAGACUCCUACGGGAGGCAGCAGUGGGGAAUAUUGCACAAUGGGGGAAACCCUGAUGCAGCAACGCCGCGUGAGUGAUGACGGUCUUCGGAUUGUAAAGCUCUGUCUUUAGGGACGAUAAUGACGGUACCUAAGGAGGAAGCCACGGCUAACUACGUGCCAGCAGCCGCGGUAAUACGUAGGUGGCAAGCGUUGUCCGGAUUUACUGGGCGUAAAGGGAGCGUAGGUGGAUAUUUAAGUGGGAUGUGAAAUACCCGGCUUAACCUGGGUGCUGCAUUCCCAACUGGAUWUCYAGARUKGCAGGAGAGGAAAGGARAAUUCCUAGUGWAGCGGUKGAAAUGSCGUAGARAWUAGGAAAGAUACCAGUUGGSGAAAGSCGCCUUYYUGGACUGUAWACUGACMYUGGA
rnacentral:rRNA from 1 species